UACAGAGGUCUCAAGCGUUGUUCGGAUUCAUUGGGCGUAAAGGGCGUGUAGGUGGCGCGCUAAGUCGGGUGUGAAAUUUCGGAGCUUAACUCCGAAACUGCAUUCGAUACUACCGUGCUUGAGGACUGGAGAGGAGACUGGAAUUUACGGUGUAGCGGUGAAAUGCGUAGAUAUCGUAAGGAAGACCAGUGGCGAAGGCGGGUCUCUGGACAGUUCCUGACGCUGAGGCACGAAGGCCAGGGGAGCAAACGGG
rnacentral:rRNA from 1 species